rnacentral:lncRNA from 10 species
GGGCAAUGGCGAGCGCCCCUCCCCCAGCCUCGCUGCUGCGUUGCAGUUUGAUCUCAGACUGCUGUGCUAGCAAUCAGCAAGACUCCGUGCGCACAGGACCCUCCGAGCCAGGUGCGGGAUAUAAUCCCAUGGUGUGCCGUUUUUUAAGCUGGUCGGAAAAGCGCAGUAUUCGGGUGGGAGUGGCCCGAUUUUCCAGCCUGUUGCAAACUGGUUACCACAAAUAUCCAUGCUGAGCUGACUUCCCAAUGUCUAGUGUAGAAAAUGCCUGCUGCAAUUUACCCUUCUACUUGUGGUUGAGUUCACGCUGUUCUGAGAACCCUCUGAUGUUGAAGUGGCUGCUGUAGAUUCUGACUGGAGCAAGAAUGACUUCUAAGUUGUAUGUGACCUAAAAACAGCUCCCCUACUGAACAGAAGAUACUGACUUUUAUGUUUCCCCCGUAUGGCAAUAUCAAACAUACUGUUUGUCAGUAGCACCCUUUGUCUUCCCUGUACAGCCAUUUCAUGCUUUCCUCUUUGCAGCAUACUCAUUCUAGAAUGCUAUUUAACUAUGUUUUUAGUUAAUAAAUGUCCAGCCAAAUGGAUGAGUAGAUGAAUUAUUCCAGACAUGAGCUGGUAACAUGUUAAUAUGUUCCUUUGCGGCUUUGUUGAGCUUAACUGUGGUGAAUUUUAUAUUCUUUCAGAUUUAAAAUAAGCCCAGCCUCUGUUUUUAAAAAUUAUGUAUAAUGGGAAAGUAUUUGAUCAUUUUCAAAUGAGAUAUGCCAAUCACUAGACAAUAAUUCUAAGUAGACAUUCAUACAAAAAUGAUAAAUAUCUGUAUUUAAUGAAUAAGAACAAAAAUCUUAGGAAAACAGAGCACCAAGGAUAUCAAAGAUUAAUCUCCAGUAAUUUGGUGUUGACAUAGCUGAAGAAUAAUAUCACUAUUGACUGAAACAUAUAAUGUCCUUAGCGAAUAGCUUGUCAGGACUAAUAUAAUCAAAUACAAAAUUGAUACAAGGAAUCAUGACCCUACAUCUCAAACACCACUCUGGGCUUCUGCCACCCAGAGGAAAGUAAUUAAUUAAUUUCAGCUGGAGAAUGUCUUCUUGUCUGUAAUUAACAAUAUGUGCACCUACCACAUUCUAAUCCUCCACUGUGCUGAGGAAGUACAAGGUGAUUAGUGAAGGCAAAUUGCAAACACACCUCUUGGUUGCUUCUUCUUCCACCUCAAACUCUCUCAUCCUCCCACCCCAUCCGACUUCCCUUGUCAAGUAUUAAAU